UCGCUGGUAGCUCAGUUGGUAGAGCGUUCGGCUGAUAACCGGAAGAUCGGUGGUUCGAGUCCACCCCGGCGAA
rnacentral:tRNA from 1 species